ACUCAAAUGAAUAGACGGGGGCCCGCACAAGCAGUGGAUUAUGUGGUUUAAUUCGACGCAACGCGAAGAACCUUACCAGGUCUUGACAUCGUGCGCAUUACCAUGAGAAUGGGAAGUCCUUCGGGACGCACAGACAGGUGGUGCAUGGUUGUCGUCAGCUCGUGUCGUGAGAUGUUGGGUUAAGUCCCGCAACGAGCGCAACCCCUAUUAUUAGUUGCUACGCAAGAGCACUCUAAUGAGACUGCCGUUGACAAAACGGAGGAAGGUGGGGAUGACGUCAAAUCAUCAUGCCCCUUAUGACCUGGGCUACACACGUAAUACAAUGGCAAUUAACAACGGGAAGCAAAGCGGCGACGCAGAGCAAAUCCCCAAAAAUUGUCUCAGUUCGGAUUGCAGGCUGAAACUCGCCUGUAUGAAGUCGGAAUUGCUAGUAAUCGCGGAUCAGAAUGCCGCGGUGAAUACGUUCCCGGGCCUUGUACACACCGCCCGU
rnacentral:rRNA from 1 species